CCCUAGCCCAGAUUGAAAUGGAAAUCCUUUUUAUUUUUUCUUUAAAAAUAAAAAGAUUGCAGUGGAAAGCUGGAAAUAGC
rnacentral:sRNA from 1 species